rnacentral:rRNA from 1 species
UUAGCAUAUCAAUAAGCGGAGGAAAAGAAACCAACAGGGAUUGCCCUAGUAACGGCGAGUGAAGCGGCAACAGCUCAAAUUUGAAAUCUGGCUUCGGCCCGAGUUGUAAUUUGCAGAGGAUGCUUUUGGUGCGGUGCCUUCCGAGUUCCCUGGAACGGGACGCCACAGAGGGUGAGAGCCCCGUAUGGUCGGACGCCAAUCCUGUGUAAAGCUCCUUCGACGAGUCGAGUAGUUUGGGAAUGCUGCUCUAAAUGGGAGGUAAAUCUCUUCUAAAGCUAAAUACCGGCCAGAGACCGAUAGCGCACAAGUAGAGUGAUCGAAAGAUGAAAAGCACCUUGAAAAGGGGGUUAAACAGUACGUGAAAUUGUUGAAAGGGAAGCACUUGUGACCAGACUUGGGCCGGGCGGCUCAUCAGGGGUUCUCCCCUGUGCACUCCGCCCGGUACAGGCCAGCAUCGGUUCUUGCCGGGGGAUAAGAACGGAAGGAACGUGGCCCCCCUUCGGGGGGGUGUUAUAGCCUGCCGUACGAUACCCUGGCGGGGACCGAGGUUCGCGCUUCCGCAAGGAUGCUGGCGUAAUGGUUACUAGUGACCCGUCUUGAAACACGGACCAAGGAGUCGUCCAUUAGAGCGAGCGUUUGGGUGUCAAACCCGCACGCGUAAUGAAAGUGAAAUUAGGUGAGAGCUUCGGCGCAUCAUCGACCGAUCCUGAUGUUCUCGGAAGGAUUUGAGUAAGAGUUUUAACGGACGGACCCGAAAGACAGUGAACUAUGCUUGUAUAGGGUGAAGCCAGAGGAAACUCUGGUGGAGGCUCGCAGCGGUUCUGACGUGCAAAUCGAUCGUCAAAUAUGAGCAUGGGGGCGAAAGACUAAUCGAACUGUCUAGUA